AUUGAACGCUGGCGGCAUGCCUAACACAUGCAAGUCGAGCGGAUGAAGGGAGCUUGCUCCUGGAUUCAGCGUCGGACGGGGGAGUAAUGCCUAGGAAUCUGCCUCGUAGUGGGGGAUAACGUCCGCAAACGGGCGCUAAUACCGCAUGCGUCCUGAGGGGGAAGGUGGGGGAUCUUCGGACCUCACGCUAUCGUAGGAGCCGAGGUCGGAUUAGUUAGUUGGUGGGGUAAAGGCCUGCCAAGGCGAGGAUCCGUAACUGGUCUGAGAGGAUGAUCAGUCACACUGGAACUGAGACACGGUCCAGACUCCUACGGGAGGCCGCAGUGGGGAAUAUUGGACAAUGGGCGAGAGCCUGAUCCAGCCAUGCCGAGUGUGUGAAGAAGGUCUUCGGAUUGUAAAGCACUUUAAGUUGGGAGGAAGGGCAGUAAGUUAAUAACUUGCUGUUUUGACGUUACCAACAGAAUAAGCACCGGCUAACUUCGUG
rnacentral:rRNA from 1 species